UAGGUUUUUGUAGUUGAAUA
rnacentral:tRNA from 1 species